GCUGAGGUUGGAUAGGACCAACAUUAGUUUAGGGCAGCUGAGGCUGGCUGGUGCUAUCAGUCAUAGGGCCUACAGAUUGCCUAACCCUGCGCCUAAGAUUGAUGAAUAAUACCUGGCAAUUUUCUUGAUUUUCUUAAGGGAACAAACUUUGCACCAAUCACUAACACAAUUGGAGGGCCGAAUAUAAAGCCCCUAGCCUCAACUCCUAUAAGCAUACCAAAUUCAAUAUCAAAUCCAUUAAAUUAAGUGCCUUCAUAGGUAUAAGCAUAAAAUAAGACUACCGAACAAAAACAA